rnacentral:lncRNA from 1 species
AGCAACAAAGGACUUUUGUUAGCGCAUCAUGAAUGAGUUCCAUGCUUCUCCUUAUGGCGGCCACUCCAGUUUUAAACUGACCCUCAAGCGCAUAUCCGUUUCCUUCUACUGGCCGAAAUGGACAUGAGACGUCCAUAGCUUCGUCCAACUAUUCUCCGUGUGUCAGAAAAACAAAUACAUGCCAACAAAAUUCAAGGUUUACUUCAACCAUUACCAAUUCCAGAACAAGUAUGGGAAGAUAUAUCAAUGGAUUUUAUUACUCACCUUCAAAGUUCAGCUGGCCACUCGAUCAUUUGGGUCAUCUGUGACAGAUUAACAAAAUAUGCCCACUUCCUAGCUCUUCCUACGCACUUCACAGCCCAACAGCUAGCCAAACGAUUUUCAGUGGAAAUAUGCCGACUCCAUGGUCUACCAAAAACCAUCGUCUCCGACUGCGACCCCUUGUUCGUCAGUACCUUCUGGCAACACCUAUUCAAGGCACAAGGAACCACGUUAAAAUUCAGCUCGUCAUACCACCCACAAACUGACGACCAAACGGAAGUGUUGAAUAGAGGGUUAGAAGUGUACCUCAGGUGCUUUGUGGGAAAUCAACCGGACAAAUGGUAUCAAUUUCUUCACUUGGCAGAGUUAUGGCACAACACCACCCACCAUUCGGCUAUAGGAACCUCACCCUUCCAUGCUCUGUAUGGUGGACAACCACCCACUGUUGUCGACUUCGUGCGCACCCUACAAGACGGUGCAACCAUUUCGGGGUCGUUAUCCGAACACAUCGUCGUCCUUCAGGAGCUCCAGGAGCACUUGCAUCUUACAAGGAAGCGAAUGUGUGACCAAGCGAAUCAACACCGCACAGAUCGGAGUUUCGCACCAGGAGAUUAGGUGUGGGUUUUCCUCCAACCCUACAGGCAACGAACCUUGGAACGACGUACACACCAAAAGAUGGGACUGCGCUUCUCAGGCCCAUACAAGGUAUUACGCCGCAUCGAAUCCGCCGCGUACGAGCUACAACUGCCAGCGACCGCCCACGUCCACCCUGUUUUUCAUGUGUCGCUACUGCGAAUUUUGAAAGGGACUUUUGAAGAAGCUCCUUUAGUUUCUACCAAGUCCGCAAACAACUGCCCAACAACACUUAACUCACAUUCAAAAACCAGUCAAAACCUUCUGAACGCACCGCCCUAAGAGUCCAAUAACAACGAGACAAGUGUGGUGGAACCCUAGAACCUCGAGCCCAUCACGCACGUGCCUACCCCACCUUUUACCCCCACACUUUCUAACUAUCUGCACACGCAUCCUGCCACAACCAUUACCGCAUGCCACGUGUAAAGGAACGUGCAACAGCCACAACGUCCCCAAACAUUGAGCCCAACGCCCAUAAUGCAUCCCACGCACCCUAACCCUAAUGCAAUCGUGACACAUACCUUGGCAAACCCUAAUGCACUAGCGAUGCAUACCUUAACAAACCCUAAUGUGCCAAUGACGCAUCCUACCCAACCCAGUGCCCAAGCCCAAAUCCAAUGUGCCCAACCCAACAAGCCUACACAAUGUCAAUUCGCACCCCGUUCUAAAUAUCCCCACACACCACCCAAUGCUCCAGACACGUCUCAACUGGGCCACAUCCAGCCCAACACCUCUCCACUGGCCCAUUAGACUCCAAGAUUGUACUUUGAGGACAAAGUGCUUCCUGAGUCGGAGAGUAAUGUUAGAAUGAUUAAUUACACAAGAACAAGACAAAAAUAACAACCUAAUUGGAUGAAAGAUUUUAUAUUGGGUUAAGUCCAUGCCUUUUUAUUUUGCCAUUUUAUUUAGUAUGUUGUUUUUUAGUUUCAGUUGUUGCUUUAAUUUUAAGAAUUGUAAGGCCCAUGGCCCUUAAGUCUGUAUGAAUGAAGACAAAAGUUUUUUUUGUGAUAACCCUAGUUUUAGUAUAACAGUAACAAAGGUCUAUAAUUGGUGCUUUCAUUGAUAUGGCUCCCAAACUAUCAUCCAAGGACAUGGAAGAGUUCAUCCACACCAUCCAAGCUCAACUCACCCUGAUUCAAAACCAAUUAAAGGACACCUCUAGCAAAGAGUCUACCCUAGAAGCAAAGAAUGACAACCUCCACUCCUAUGUCACAUCACUGCUGGAUCAAGUCACCCUCCUCACACACCCUGAAAAUCCAAAUCCUCUGCAUCACCACCAAACAAGUCCUCUAUCAUCGCAUUCUCACUCCCACUAGCAACAACCCCCUUCUCUACAACCACCAACACUUACCCUACCUUUUUUUGAAGGUACCAAUCCUCUGGACUGGCUUUUUCAGGCAGAUCAUUAUUUUUCAUUCUAUCAAAUUCCCCUAGACCAGCGUUUGCUCAUGGUGGGAUUCCACAUGCAGGGAGAUGCUCUCUCCUGGUUUAAAUGGCUGCACAACAAUAACCUCCUCAUAGAUUGGCAAUCAUUCACAAGGGCCUUGGAGCUCCGUUUUGGCCCAUCAACAUAUAUCAAUCACCAAGUUGAGUUAUUCAAACUCCAACAAACCUCCACAGUCACAGAAUACCAAGGCAGGUUUGAACAUUUAUACAACUGUGUGGUGGGUCUCACUCCCGAGACUAUACUUAAUUGCUUCAUUUCUGGUUUGAGUAUUGACAUUCGCAGAGAGCUCACUAUAUUAAAUCCUUACUCUAUAGCCCAAGACAUAGGACUAGCCAAGCUUAUUGAAGACAAACUCAGAGAUUCUAAACCUAAACAACACCGUUUUAGCCCACCACCACACCACACCACCACUACUUCUUCAUUCACAAACACUAGACCUAAUACCCUUACCCUACCCCACCAUCAGAUCAAAUACCCAUAAAACGUCUCUCAUCUUCCCAAAUGCAAGAACGACGUGCCCUAGGUCUAUGCUACAAUUGUGAUGAAAAGUUCUUUCCUGGCCAUAAGUGUACUACAUCUCGUUUUUUACUUCUCUUGGAUGAUCCUGAUACCUUAAAUGAACCCACCGAGCAAUUCGUCUCACCCUCCGAAUACACUACUCCCCUCCAUUUUCACAUCUCCCCACAAGCCAUCUCAGGUACCAUUUCCCCAAAAACCCUCAAAUUCAUAAGUUUAAACCGCAAUCUUCCAGUCACCGUUCUUAUUGAUUCAGGUAGCUCGCACAACAUCCUUCAACCACGUAUCGCCUGCCAUUUACACCUAACCAUAUCUCCUAGCCCACCACUAUCUGUUAUGGUUGGUAAUUGGGCUUUCAUCUAGUGUCAAGGACUUUGCCCAUAAGUGGAUAUCUCACUCAACACUCCACCUUUACUAUCCUUUUUUACCUUCUUCCCAUUGAAGGUGUGGAUGUUGUCCUUGACAUAGAUUGGUUAAGUACACUGAGAUCCAUCCAUGAAGAUUUCGCAAUCCCCAGCAUAGCUUUCACACACAACAAUCAACAAAUUACCCUCCAAGCCUCCACCUCACCCACCCCAACAACUACCACUUACCACCAAUUUUGUCACUAUAUAUCUAAUAACUCUAUUGCAUCCCUUCACCUCUUAUCGGUGGAAAACCAGCCCAGCUCAACCACAUACACAACCAUUGCUCACCCCUCCUCUUCGUUAGACAAUCUACCCUCACCCAUUCAAUCCCUCCUUCAGAAAUACCACACUAUCUUUCAAAAACCUCACGGGUGACCACCAUAUCCCGUUGUUACCUAAAACCUCACCCAUCAAGCUAAAACCCUAUCGCUACUCACACCACCAUAAGGAAGUAAUCACUGUUCUCAUAUAUGAAUGUUGCAAGAGGGUAUUAUCCAACCCAGUACAAGCCCUUUUUCUUCCCCGUGCUGCUAAUAAAAAAAAUGGUACAUGACGUUUCUGUGUUGACUAUAGAGCCCUAAAUGCGGCCACCAUUCGUGACCAUUUCCCAUUCCUACCAUUGAUGAAUGGCUAGAUGAGUUAGCCUAAGCUACUGUUUUUACUAAAAUAGAUUUACACUCUGGUUAUCACCAAAUACUUCUUGUUCCAGAAGACACUCACAAAACAGCUUUCUGCACUAUUGGGUUAACUAACGCCCCUUCUACUUUUCAGGCAGCAACAAAUGAUCUUCUCAAACCAUACCUACAAUGAUUUGUCUUAGUUUUUUUUUUAUGACAUUUUAAUUUAUAGUUCAAGCUUACAGGACCAUAUGAUUCAUCUCUAAAUUAUAUUGGAAGUGCUACACACUCAAAAUAAAAAUGUCAAGCUUUCCAAAUGCAGUUCCGCAACCGCAGAAGUAAGUUACCUAGGUCACGUAAUAUCAGCUCACAGCUCAAUGGGUCCAACCAAACCCAUAAAAGAUCAGCGCCAUACACAAUUGGCCUCAGCCACAGUCACUCACGACAUUACAGGAUUUCCUCGACCUCACCAGAUUUUAUAGAAAAUUCAUAAAGCACUACGCCACACUUGCCGCUCCUCUCACCGACUUAUUACAAAACCACAAAUUUAGAUGGACGGAGCUUGCGCAACAAGCAUUUGAAAAAUUGAAAUUAAACAUGACACAAAUGCCUACUCUACACCUCCUUGACUUCAAGCUUCCAUUUGUGGUAGAAACUGAUGCCUCUGCAGUGGCCGUUGGAGACCAUCCUAUUGCCUUCUUCAGCAAAAAGAUGAAACCCCAAGCUCCAAGCUUCUUCCGUUUAUGUCCGUGAGAUGUAUGCCAUCACAGAGUCAGUAAAAAAAUGGCGUCAGUAUCUCAUAGGACAACAUUUCACAAUAUCAAAGAUCAGAAAAGUCUCAACACCCUUCUUGCCCAAACCAUACAAACCCCAAAACAACAAAAAUGGACAGCUAAAUUACAGGGAUAUGAUUUCCAAAUAAUUUACCGACCUGGAUGGGAAAAUGCGGCGCCUGAUGCUCUUUAAAGAAUGGAUCAGGAACCCACACUCACCAUGCUGGCAGUUUCGUUCCCAAUGCCUCAGUUGAUUCAAGAACUCCAAAAAAUUUUGACACCGCAGAAGGCCAGGAGGUGAUCCAGGCAUGGGAAACCAAGAGCAACCAAGUCUUUUUUCCAUAGGUCAUGGGUUACUCUUUUUCCGCCUCCAAAAUUUUUGUGCCAGCAACAAAGGACUUUCGUCAGCGCAUCAUGAAUAAGUUUCAUGCUUCUCCUUAUGGCGGCCACUCCAGUUUUAAACUGACCCUCAAGCGCAUAGCCGCUUCCUUUUACUGCCCAAAAUGGACAUGAGACGUCCAUAGCUUCGUCCAACAAUGCUCUGUGUGUCAAAAAAGCAAAUACAUGCCAACAAAAAUUCAAGGUUUAUUUCAACCAUUACCAAUUCCAGAACAAGUACGGGAAGAUAUAUCAAUGGAUUUUAUUACUCACCUUCCAAGUUCAGCUGGCCACUCGGUCAUUUGGUCAUCUACGACAGAUUAACAAAAUAUGCCCACUUCCUAACUCUUCCUACGCACUUCACAACCCAACAGCUAGCCAAAUGUAUUUCAGUGGAAAUAUGCCGACUCCAUGGUCUACCAAAAACCAUCGUCUCCGACCGCGACCCCUUGUUCGUCAGUAUCUUCUGGCAACACCUAUUCAAGGCACAAGGAACCACGUUAAAAUUCAGCUCGUCAUACCACCCACAAACUGACGGCCAAACGGAAGUGUUGAACAAAGGGUUAAAAGUGUACCUUAGGUGCUUUGUGUGGAAUCAACCGAACAAAUGGUAUCAAUUUCUUCACUCGGCAAAGUUAUGGCACAACACCACCUACCAUUCUGCUAUAGGAAGCUCACCUUUCCAUGCUUUGUACGAUCGACAACCACCCAUUGUUGUCGACUUCGUGCGCACCCCACAAGACGGUGCAACCAUUCCGGGGUCAUUAUCCGAACACACCGUCGUCCUCUAGGAGCUUUGGGAGCACUUGCGUCGUAGAAGGCAACGAAUGUGUGACUAAGCGUACCAACACCGCACAGAUUGGUGUUUCGCACGAGGAGAUUGGGUGUUGGUUCGCCUCCAACCCUACAGGCAACGAACCUUGGAACGACAUACACACCAAAAGUUGGGACCACGCUUCUCAAGCCCAUACAAGGUAUUACACCGCAUCAGAGCCGUCGCGUACGAGCUACAACUGCCAGCGACCGCCUGUGUCCACCCUGUUUUUCAUGUGUUGCUGCUGCGGAUUUUCAAAGGGACUUCUGAAGAAGCUCCUUUAGUUUCUACCAAGUCUGCAAACAACUGCCCAAGAACACUUAACUCACAUUCAAAAACCAAUCAGAAACUUCUGAACCCACCGCCCUAAGAGUCCAAUAACAGCGAGACAAGUGUCGUGGAACCCCAGAACCUCGAGCCCAUCACGCACGUGCCUACCCCACCUUUUAACCCCACACUUACUAACUAUCUGCACACGCAUCCUGGCAUAACCAUUAACGGCACGCCACAUGUAAUGGAACGUGUAGUAGCCACAGCGUCCCCAGACUUUGAGCCCAACGCCCAUAAUGCAUCCCACGCACCCAAGCACCCUAACCCUAAUGCUCCAGCGACACAUACCUUAGCAAACCCUAAUGCGCCAAUGUCACAUCUUAGCCAACCCGGUACCCCAGCCCAAAUACAAUGUGUCCAACCCAACAAGUCUACACAAUGUUAGUUCGCACCCCUUCUAAAUAUCUACACACCAACCAAUGCUCCAGACACGUCUCAACUGGACCACAUCCAACCCAACACCUCCCCACCGGCCCAACAAACUCCAAGACUGCACUUUGAGGACAAAGUGCUUUCUGAGCCGGACAAUAAUGUUAGAAUGAGUAAUUACACAAGCACAAGGCCCAAAAAACAACCCAAAUGGAUGAAAGAUUUUAUAUUGGAUUAAGC